rnacentral:tRNA from 1 species
AAGUAAUAAAUUUUAUUAAACUUAUACUUUAAUUAUUUAAUU